GAUGAACGCUAGCGGUAGGCUUAACACAUGCAAGUCGAGGGGCAGCACGGAUAGCAAUAUUUGGUGGCGACCGGCGCACGGGUGAGUAACGCGUAUGCAACCUGCCUAUAACUGGAGAAUAGCCCUCGGAAACGGGGAUUAAUGUUCCAUAAUGUUCAGAGGCCGCAUGGUUUUUGGACUAAAGCUCCGGCGGUUAUAGAUGGGCAUGCGUGACAUUAGCUAGUUGGUGAGGUAACGGCUCACCAAGGCUACGAUGUCUAGGGGGUCUUAAAGGAUGAUCCCCCACACUGGUACUGAGACACGGACCAGACUCCUACGGGUGGCAG
rnacentral:rRNA from 1 species